rnacentral:rRNA from 1 species
AUACAGAGGGUGCGAGCGUUAAUCGGAAUUACUGGGCGUAAAGCGCGCGUAGGCGGCUACUUAAGUCAGAUGUGAAAUCCCCGGGCUCAACCUGGGAACUGCAUCUGAUACUGGGUAGCUAGAGUUUAGGAGAGGGAAGUAGAAUUUCAGGUGUAGCGGUGAAAUGCAUAGAGAUCUGAAGGAAUACCAGUGGCGAAGGCGGCUUCCUGGCCUAAAACUGACGCUGAGGUGCGAAAGCGUGGGUAGCAAACGGGAUUAGAUACCCCUGUAGUCC